GCCUAACACAUGCAAGUCGAACGAAGUAGCAAUACUUAGUGGCAGACGGGUGAGUAACAUGUAGGUAUCUACCCUUUGGCCUGGAAUAACACGAGGAAACUUGUGCUAAUACCGGAUAAGUCUUUACGGAGAAAGCUUUAUGCACCAUUGGAUGAGCCUGCACUUGAUUAGUUUGUUGGUGGGGUAAUGGCCUACCAAGACUGUGAUCAAUAGCUGAUUUGAGAGGAUGAUCAGCCACAUUGGGACUGAGACACGGCCCAAACUCCUACGGGAGGCAGCAGUGGGGAAUCUUGCACAAUGGAGGAAACUCUGAUGCAGCGAUGCCGCGUGAGUGAAGAAGGCCUUUGGGUUGUAAAGCUCUUUCGUCGGGGAAGAAAAUGACUGUACCCGAAUAAGAAGGUCCGGCUAACUUCGUGCCAGCAGCCGCGGUAAUACGAAGGGACCUAGCGUAGUUCGGAAUUACUGGGCUUAAAGAGUUCGUAGGUGGUUGAAAAAGUUGGUGGUGAAAUCCCAGAGCUUAACUCUGGAACUGCCAUCAAAACUUUUCAGCUAGAGUAUGAUAGAGGAAAGCAGAAUUUCUAGUGUAGAGGUGAAAUUCGUAGAUAUUAGAAAGAAUACCAAUUGCGAAGGCAGCUUUCUGGAUCAUUACUGACACUGAGGAACGAAAGCAUGGGUAGCGAAGAGGAUUAGAUACCCUCGUAGUCCAUGCCGUAAACGAUGUGUGUUAGACGUUGGAAAUUUAUUUUCAGUGUCGCAGCGAAAGCGAUAAACACACCGCCUGGGGAG
rnacentral:rRNA from 1 species